rnacentral:rRNA from 1 species
CCGGGGCUUAUUCUGUCGGUAACGUCAAAACACUAACGUAUUAGGUUAAUGCCCUUCCUCCCAACUUAAAGUGCUUUACAAUCCGAAGACCUUCUUCACACACGCGGCAUGGCUGGAUCAGGCUUGCGCCCAUUGUCCAAAAUUCCCCACUGCUGCCUCCCGUAGGAGUCUGGACCGUGUCUCAGUUCCAGUGUGGCUGGUCGUCCUCUCAGACCAGCUACUGAUCGAUGCCUUGGUAGGCCUUUACCCUACCAACUAGCUAAUCAGAUAUCGGCCGCUCCAGGAGCACAAGGCCUUGCGGUCCCCUGCUUUCAUCCGUAGAUCGUAUGCGGUAUUAGCGUAACUUUCGCUACGUUAUCCCCCACUCUUGGGUACGUUCCGAUAUAUUACUCA